GUGCCCACUUUGGCAGCACACAUAUUAAGAUUGGAGUGAUCCAGAGAAGAUUAGCAUGGCCCCUGCAGAAAGAUGACAAACAUCUGUGAAGCAGAUGUGACUGUG
rnacentral:snRNA from 1 species